rnacentral:rRNA from 1 species
UACAGAGGUCCCAAGCGUUGUUCGGAUUCAUUGGGCGUAAAGGGUGCGUAGGCGGCGCGGUAAGUCGGGUGUGAAAUCUCGGGGCUUAACUCCGAAACUGCAUUCGAUACUGCCGUGCUUGAGGACUGGAGAGGAGACUGGAAUUUACGGUGUAGCGGUGAAAUGCGUAGAUAUCUGGAGGAACACCGGUGGCGAAGGCGGCCCCCUGGUUGGAUACUGACGCUGAGACGCGAAAGCGUGGGGAGCAAACAGG